rnacentral:lncRNA from 1 species
UCUUCAUCCUUCAGCCCUCAUUAGCUCUAUUGUUCCUCUCUGAAAUCUGAAGAAGCUUUUAGAAUUUGAAUUUCAAAAACAAAGGAAAACCAAAAACCAAAAAAAAUGAUAUAGAAGGCUACUGUUUCAUUAAAGUUCAUCCUAUUAUGACUGGUUGCUGAAAUUACAGUGACUUUAUUAGUGUGAUUUCAAUUUUUUGAGGUCAGCUGCGGAGUACUAAUCCUUUUGAUGGUUAUUUUAUUAGAUCCUGAGUUUCAAGCUGAGUGUUGGGGUCUAAAUUGCUCCUGUUGGUUGUUUGUUGAGUUAUUACUGCUCGAAAUUGGUCAUUUGGGUUGUAUUGAAGGUUAUUCAAAUCCUUGAAUUCCCUCUGGCUUGCUGCUGUUGCAUUGAUUUGCUGACCUCUUCCUCCUUUCUCUUAUUUUGCUCAAAAUUACCAGGUACACCCCUUUUGUACGGACUUGCAAUUGGAAUGAAAAAUGGAGAUUUGAGCCUGCUGUGCUUAAAUUACCAGGUACACCCCUUUUUGCAUUGAUUUGCUGACCUCUUCCUCCUUUCUCUUAUUUUGCUCAAAAUUACCAGGUACACCCCUUUGUACGCACUUGCAAUUGGAAUGAAAAAUGAAGAUUUGAGCCUGCUGUUGCAUUGUUAUUUAUAUCUAUUUGGUUUAUCUAUUUAUAAUUGUAGUAGAUUAGGGGUUAUUUGAGAAGUUAUACUCAAUUAACGUAAAUUCCUUGUAGCUAGACUGAAAUUAAAUUGUGGUAGUUAGAAUGAGUUUGUGGGUUUGUUUAAUUAGUUUCAACUUUUCUGUUUUGAAAAAUGAAGUGAUUUGGAGUGGCUGAAGUCAUUUUCAUUUGUAAUGGUUUGCUAGGUCUAUAAUGCUAUUGGUAUUUGCUGGUCUAUUCUAUUGAAAGUUCGAAAUCCACUCUCAAUUUUAUAUCAAUAAAUCCUGGUGCUCCAAAUAAUUGCAAUAGGCCCUCUGUGAAUUUAAUGCUUCUGGUAGUGUAAGGGCUUGGUAUUAGGGGAUUUGUCUGAUUAGCUUAAGCUGGAAAUAAAAUUUGUAUUGAUCAACUGACUUUGGAUUUUAACCUUCAAUUAGUUAGACUGUUUCUUUUGGUGUAUUAAAACUCAGGUAUUGAUAAGUUGCAGAGUAUGAAUUUACUACUUGAAAUCCAUGCUAGUUGAAAACAAAGGUAAUUCAGGGAUUUAUAAAGAAAAAGAGUUUCAAUUGUCUAUAUGACCCUGCUCCCGUUCUUUGAUCAGUUUCUUUAUGGCGUUUUCUCAUGUGAAAGUAGUCUUCAAUAUUAGUUAUUAUUUGUAUGGAAAUUUAAUGGGAAUUUGAGCUCAAGACGUGAAAGUUGGGCCAAUGGUCGGCGUCAAGGCUCAAGGACUCCUCAUUCAGAGACAAGAUCAACAAAUAAAUUCAAGCUUUGUCUCUAUCAGGGAUUUGAUCCCACGAAGAGCAGUGGCUGUUGCCCUGAAUCUUUCCGCCCUGUUGGGCCUCAUUAAGUGGCCGAAUUCGAUUGUUGAGUUGGACUGCUAAGUGCAAUUCCUACUUUUGCCUAAUAACUAAAUUCACGUAGUUAAAUUUUCUUUUUUGUAGAGAUGCUUAAUCAAACAAAAAUUGUAGUCACUUUUUUUUAGGAUUGACCUUUUAAUAAAUGUUGAGACGAGCCUCACAAAAAAAACAAAUGCGGGGCCCUUGAUAAAUAAUUACUAG